AGGAGUGCUUGCACUCCUGAUGGUUAGCGGCGGACGGGUGAGUAACACGUAGGUAACCUGCCCAUAAGACUGGGAUAACCCACGGAAACGUGAGCUAAUACCAGAUAGGCAUUUUCCUCGCAUGAGGGAGAUGAGAAAGGCGGAGCAAUCUGCCACUUAUGGAUGGACCUGCGGCGCAUUAGCUAGUUGGUAAGGUAACGGCUUACCAAGGCGACGAUGCGUAGCCGACCUGAGAGGGUGAUCGGCCACACUGGGACUGAGACACGGCCCAGACUCCUACGGGAGGCAGCAGUAGGGAAUCUUCCGCAAUGGACGAAAGUCUGACGGAGCAACGCCGCGUGAGUGAUGAAGGUUUUCGGAUCGUAAAGCUCUGUUGCCAGGGAAGAACGCCUAGGAGAGUAACUGCUCCUAGGGUGACGGUACCUGAGAAGAAAGCCCCGGCUAACUACGUGCCAGCAG
rnacentral:rRNA from 1 species